rnacentral:rRNA from 1 species
CCUACGGGAGGCAGCAGUGGGGAAUAUUGCACAAUGGGCGCAAGCCUGAUGCAGCGACGCCGCGUGAGGGAUGACGGCCUUCGGGUUGUAAACCUCUUUCAGUAGGGAAGAAGCGUAAAGUGACGGUACCUGCAGAAGAAGCGCCGGCUAACUACGUGCCAGCAGCCGCGGUAAUACGUAGGGCGCAAGCGUUAUCCGGAAUUAUUGGGCGUAAAGAGCUCGUAGGCGGUUUGUCGCGUCUGCUGUGAAAGACCGGGGCUCAACUCCGGUUCUGCAGUGGGUACGGGCAGACUAGAGUGCAGUAGGGGAGACUGGAAUUCCUGGUGUAGCGGUGAAAUGCGCAGAUAUCAGGAGGAACACCGAUGGCGAAGGCAGGUCUCUGGGCUGUAACUGACGCUGAGGAGCGAAAGCAUGGGGAGCGAACAGGAUUAGAUACCCUGGUAGUCCAUGCCGUAAACGUUGGGCACUAGGUGUGGGGGACAUUCCACGUUUUCCGCGCCGUAGCUAACGCAUUAAGUGCCCGCCUGGGGNGGACGGCCGCGAAGGACGUAAACGUUAACGUUAAGUAGUUAGUUAGUACGCGNGNGNGCGACGACGACGACGACGGAGGAGGAG